rnacentral:rRNA from 1 species
GACGAACCGUGCGAACGUUGUUCGGAAUCACUGGGCUUAAAGGGCGCGUAGGCGGGCGAUCAAGUCAGGGGUGAAAUCCUCCAGCUUAACUGGAGAACUGCCUCUGAUACUGGUCAUCUUGAGUGAGGUAGGGGCGUGCGGAACUGAUGGUGGAGCGGUGAAAUGUGUUGAUAUCAUCAGGAACUCCGGUGGCGAAAGCGGCGCGCUGGACCGUAACUGACGCUGAGGCGCGAAAGCCAGGGGAGCGAACGGG